rnacentral:rRNA from 1 species
GAUGAACGCUGGCGGCGUGCCUAAUACAUGCAAGUCGAGCGAACAGACGAGGAGCUUGCUCCGCUGACGGGAGCGGCGGACGGGGAAGUAACACGUGGAUAACCUACGUAUAAGACUGGGAUAACGUCGGGAAACGGGAGAUAAUACCGGAUAAUAGAUAGAACCGCAGGGUUCAAUAGUGAAAGACGGAUGUGCUGUCACUGAUAGAUGGAUCCGCGCCGCAUUAGCUAGUUGGUAAGGGAACGGCUUACCAAGGCGACGAUGCGUAGCCGACCUGAGCGGGUGAUCGGCCACACUGGCACUGAGACACGGUCCAGACUCCUACGGGAGCCAGCAGUAGGGAUUCUUCCGCAAUGGGCGAAAGCCUGACGGAGCAACGCCGCGUGCGUGAUGAAGGUGUUCGCAUCGUAAAUCUCUGUUAUUAGCGAAGACCAAAUGUGUACGUAACUAUGCACGUCUUGACGGUACCUAAUCAGAAAGCCACGGCUAACUACGUG